rnacentral:misc_RNA from 1 species
AUCUAGCACUUCAUGGACGCCUCUCUGGCGAGACCGUGUUGAAGGCCGAGAUUAACCCUAAUAUUGUCCAACGCAUACAGGGUGUCCCAACUAUCAUGCACCAAGAUUUAAAGAUUUGCAUAUGCCACGUAUAUUACAUCGACGCCGAACACUACACGUGGAACGCCGUCCUCCCGUACGUAAGCAUUGCUUACAACACGGCAAUGCAAGAAACAACGCAGAUCUGCGUACUAUAUAACCAACUUCAACGCGUUGAAGUUGGUUUACUGAAGGAAUGCGGCGACGACCCUUCACGACGGACAGAACCAAGGUCCGAUGCGUGAGACCGACAUGGACGACGACCCGCGCGGCGCCAUGGCCGAAGAAGGCGGCCGGGAGCGCUCGGACGCGUCUUGCGGCGAGGACAGCGACAGCGACUCGGCGCUCAACCCGCUGGCGCAGCUGCAGAGCGCGCUCCAAAAGACCGGAGCCCUGGGCUCGGCCCUGGAAGGAAGCGCCGAAGGGAGCCCCACCGCGCCGGGCCAGACUUCGUCCACCGAGGCGGGCGCCGCCGCCGACGCCCCGAGCCCGUACCGGUGCCACAUGUGCGCCUUCCAGGGCCGCUCCAAGGCCGAGUACAGCGGCCACAUGGCGACCCACCUGGACCACAAGUGCCCCAUGUGCGACUACCGGUCCCGCACGGAGGGCCGGCUCAAAAGGCACGUCAAGGACUUCCACUCGGACGACCAGUGGCAGAUACUGCCGGGCGCCGACGACUGCAAGGACCGGACGUUCCGGUGCCGCCAGUGCGGUCACGUGGCCGCCAGCAAGACGGACUUCUGGGAGCACAGCAAGCUGCACAUCCGCACCGAGAAGCUGCUCAGCUGCCCCAAGUGCCCGUUCGUGACCGAGUACAAGCAUCACCUCGAGUACCACCUGCGCAACCACUUCGGCUCGAAGCCGUUCAAGUGCCCGAAGUGCAACUACAGCUGCGUCAACAAGAGCAUGCUCAACAGCCACCUCAAGUCUCACUCCAACGUGUACCAGUACCGGUGCGCCGACUGCAACUACGCCACGAAGUACUGCCACAGCCUCAAGCUGCACCUGCGCAAGUACGCCCACCGACCGGCCGGCGUGCUCAACUCGGACGGCAGCCCCAACGCGUUCCCGAUGCUGGACGUCUACGGCGCCAGGCGGGGUCCGCGUCGGGGCCCGCGAGGCUACCCACCACCACCGCCACCGCUGCCGCUGCCACCACCGCCGCAGCUGCAGGAGACCGCUGUAGCAAACCCAGAUCUGAACGUGCAGGGACAGCAGCUGGUGGGCCUGAUCCCGGCCGUGGUGUGCGCACAGCAGCAACAACAGCAACAGCAGCAGCAGCAGCAGCUGCUCCGAGCCGCGGCACUCGUGGCUCCGGGCACCGUGCCGUGGAAGUGCAGCGUGUGCGACUUCACCACGGCCGACGAGCAGCAGCUCAGCCGGCACGUGCUGGGACACGCGGAGAGUCAAGACCUGUGUCGGCUGUACGGCAUACGGAGCCUGCCGGGGGCCGCGCCGCCCAUGCCGCCGCCGCAGCAGCAGCCGCCGCCACCACCCGUGGCGAUCGCCACGCACCAGCAGCAACAGGACGCCCAGCCGGAGAGGCCGGCAGUCGUGUCCUCCACGUCGAGCCACGAGCUGCCCCCUCCGAGGGACGAACGAAAGGGCUCCCCCCUGGACCUGAGCCGCACGCCCCCGGAGACGACGCGCAGUCGACGCAAGGGCAGGGCCACCAGGAUCGACAAGCUGUGCAUGCGACUCCAGGACGGCCCCGAGGUCAAGACCGAGACGUCGCCGCCGGCGAGCCCGGUCCAGACGGGGCCCCCCGUGCUGGCGUCCCGCGAGGGCUCCGACCCGGCCGACGGUGCGAACAAGCCCAAGGACUCGUUUCGCUGCGCUUACUGCGACAUCGCGUUCGAGCACUGCAUCAUGUACACGGUUCACAUGGGCUACCACGGCUACCACGAUCCCUUCACGUGCAACAUGUGCGGGCAGCGGAGCGAGGACAAGCUGGCCUUCUUCUUGCACAUCGCACGCGCUGCGCAUCUAUGAGACUCCUUCCGCGAGCGCUGUAGGUGGCGCGAAACCGUGGACAAAAAGUAUACCUACGGAUAGUGCCGCAUUGUAUAUUCGCAGAGAGAUACCACACGUCUCAGGGACCGUAUUACUGUCGACAGUAAGUGCGCACGUAAGGUGCAGAUUAUGGACAGCCUGUUGUACAAACAGAGAGAGAGAGAGAGAGAGAGAGAGCAGAUUUAUUGAUAGGAAAGGUGCAGAAGCUGGCCGGUGAAUUUUGUCUGGCCUGCUACUUCAAAACUGGGAUAAAGUGUUUACAAGAGAAAGCUUUAGCUCGGAGCCAACUGCGAUACCGCCUAUAUAGGGUGUGUGCAUUCUUUCGCUGCACCAAAUUUUCGAAAUUGCCAGUAGCAGAUGGCGCAGUUCUAACCAUUGAGCUAAAUUACUCGACGCGGCGGCCAUUAGUUCUUCGAGAAAUCAAAGUGCGAAUUUGAAUAAUUACAUAUCACUAAUUUACCUUUUAAUCACUUUACGGCACAUAUUUCAAACUACAAAUUGUAGCUACUAGGUUUCCAAGACAAACACGUACACAUAGUGUGUGUGUAUACAUAUAUGUAUCGUCAUGCAGCCUCGAUCAGACAAUGCCAAAUUCUUGCAUGCAAUGCGUCCGCUGCUGGCAAGACGAGCGUGUAGAUGUAUAUAUUUGCAGACCUAUAGGAGUGGGCUGCACCGAUCUCGUUCGUUGUCAUCCAGUGCCAUUUUAAGUCGAAGGGGAACCACUUUCCGCUGUGACUAGGUGGCCGUGACGUUGCGCUACUGAGCGCUAUUAUAUAUAUGUCGCAGGCACGAUCCCCGUCUGCGAUGGCCUCAUUCAGACAUGGGCGGAAAAUGGCGCAAACGCUCGCGCAUACCGUACUCUGGGUACACGUUAAGGGAGUGCUGACGUGGAAUUGUCAACCUGCUUUUGAUGUCUAGAACCUUUCGUUUGACGCAAAAAAAAGAAAAAAGAGGAGUCAAAUAAGUCAAACCUCCUUAUAGGGAAACGGGCUAUAACAAAGUAUAGGUGAAAUUCCCCUUGAAAUACUCGUAGAGAUUCACAGUGCAGUACAUGUAAUAACGAAUAUAACGAAGUAAUGGGUAUAACGA